AAUCACGUUAGCGGCGUGCCUCAGACAUGCAAGUCGAACGCGAAAGUCCCCUUCGGGGGACAAGUAGAGUGGCGCACGGGUGAGUAACACGUAGGUAAUCUACCUUUGGAUGGGGAAUAACAACCGGAAACGGUUGCUAAUACCGCAUAAUGCAGCGGCACCUAAUGGUGACAGUUGUUAAAGCGGGGGAUCGAAAGACCUCGCGUCUGAAGAGGAGCCUGCGGCGGAUUAGCUAGUUGGUAGGGUAACGGCCUACCAAGGCUACGAUCCGUAGCCGGCCUGAGAGGGCGGUCGGCCACACUGACACUGACAUACGGGUCAGACUCCUACGGGAGGCAGCAGUCGGGAAUUUCGGGCAAUGGGCGAAAGCCUGACCCAGCAACGCCGCGUGAAGGAUGAAAUCCCUCGGGAUGUAAACUUCGCAAGAACGGGAAGAAUAAGUAGGGGACAAUACCCCCUAUGAUGACGGUACCGUUUGUAAGCUCCGGCUAACUCCGUGCCAGCAGCCGCGGUAAUACGGGGGGAGCAAGCGUUGUUCGGAUUUACUGGGCGUAAAGGGCGCGUAGGCGGCCUCCGCAAGUCAAUUGUGAAAUCUCCGGGCUUAACUCGGAAAGGUCAACUGAUACUGCGGGGCUAGAGUGCGGAAGGGGCAACUGGAAUUCUUGGUGUAGCGGUGAAAUGCGUAGAUAUCAAGAGGAACACCUGCGGCGAAGGCGGGUUGCUGGGCCGACACUGACGCUGAGGCGCGAAAGCUAGGGGAGCGAACGGGAUUAGAUACCCCGGUAGUCCUGGCCCUAAACGAUGAAUGCUUGGUGUGGCGGGUAUCGAUCCCUGCCGUGCCGAAGCUAACGCAUUAAGCAUUCCGCCUGGGGAGUACGGUCGCAAGGCUGAAACUCAAAGGAAUUGACGGGGGCCCGCACAAGCGGUGGAGCAUGUGGUUCAAUUCGACGCAACGCGAAGAACCUUACCCAGGCUUGAACUGCGAGUGACUACUCCCGAAAGGGGGCUUCCGCAAGGACACUCGUAGAGGUGCUGCAUGGCUGUCGUCAGCUCGUGUUGUGAGAUGUUGGGUUAAGUCCCGCAACGAGCGCAACCCUUGUUUGCUGUUGCCAUCAGGUUAUGCUGGGCACUCUGCAAAGACUGCCGGUGAUAAACCGGAGGAAGGUGGGGAUGACGUCAAGUCAGCAUGGCCUUUAUGUCUGGGGCUACACACGUGCUACAAUGGCCGAUACAAACCGUCGCAAAGCCGUAAGGUGGAGCUAAUCGGAGAAAGUCGGUCUCAGUUCGGAUAGCAGGCUGCAACUCGCCUGCUUGAAGUUGGAAUCGCUAGUAAUCCGGAUCAGCACGCCGCGGUGAUACGUUCCCGGGCAUGCACACACCG
rnacentral:rRNA from 1 species